UACGGAGGGUGCAAGCGUUACCCGGAAUAACUGGGCGUAAAGGGCGUGUAGGCGGAACCGCAAGUCUGAUCUUAAAGACCGCAGCUCAACUGUGGAAAAGGAGCAGAAACUGAGGAACUAGACCUCUGGAGAGAGAAUCGGAAUUCCUGGUGUAGCGGUGGAAUGCGUAGAUACCAGGAGGAACACCGGUGGCGAAGGCGGGUCUCUGGGCCGAUACUGACGCUGAGGAGCGAAAGCGUGGGGAGCGAACAGG
rnacentral:rRNA from 1 species